rnacentral:rRNA from 1 species
UACAGAGGUCUCAAGCGUUGUUCGGAUUCAUUGGGCGUAAAGGGUGCGUAGGUGGCGCCGUAAGUCAGGUGUGAAAUUUCGGAGCUUAACUCCGAAACUGCAUUUGAUACUGCGGUGCUUGAGGACUGGAGAGGAGACUGGAAUUCACGGUGUAGCAGUGAAAUGCGUAGAUAUCGUGAGGAAGACCAGUGGCGAAGGCGGCUCACUGGACUGGUAUUGACGCUGAGGUGCGAAAGCGUGGGGAGCAAACAGG